CCUACGGGAGGCAGCAGUGGGGAAUAUUGGGCAAUGGAGGAAACUCUGACCCAGCGACGCCGCGUGCGGGAUGAAGGCCUUCGGGUUGUAAACCGCUUUCAGUAGGGAAGAAGCGAAAGUGACGGUACCUACAAAAGAAGCACCGGCUAACUAUGUGCCAGCAGCCGCGGUAAUACAUAGGGUGCAAGCGUUGUCCGGAAUUAUUGGGCGUAAAGAGCUCGUAGGUCGUUUGUUACGUCGGAUGUGAAAACCUGAGGCUCAACCUCAGGCCUGCAUUCGAUACGGGCAAACUAGAGUUUGGUAGGGGAGACUGGAAUUCCUGGUGUAGCGGUGGAAUGCGCAGAUAUCAGGAGGAACACCAAUGGCGAAGGCAGGUCUCUGGGCCAAUACUGACACUGAGGAGCGAAAGUCUGGGGAGCGAACAGGAUUAGAUACCCUGGUAGUCCAGACCGUAAACGGUGGGCACUAGUUGUGGGAACCUUCCACGGUUUCUGCGACGCNGCUACGCAUAGUCGCCCGCCGUCGGGAGGUACGAGUCGCGAGAAGUUAAACGUACGAAAGAAGUAGUAAGGUCGUGUUGAGUAGCGACGACGACGACGACGGAGGGAGG
rnacentral:rRNA from 1 species